GGGGCCAACCAUGAUCGAACAAAUAAUUCUAAACACAAAAACCGUUUGAAUAGAUUGAGAUUGAGUUUGAAGUCCUUUUGGGUGCUUUAGUAAAACAGCAGCCAAACUCAUGCAAGUAAAUGAUCAGUUUCUGGAGAACGAACAUGAUAGAUCUAGCUAUGAUCGGAAAAAGCAUUGGGCUGGCGAUGUAAUCUGAUAACUGUAUGGCAAACAUGAGUGUUGAAUGGCUAUUUCUGAAUCUUUGUGAGUUUUUCAACUAAGGCUGUGCGUACAUUGCAUAUGUAUUCAAAUGUACUCAAAUAGGUGCGUUUAAUUAGUAAGCACUUAUACAGUUGCAGCAUACUAGCAACGCCAAUAAAGGGGAUAUUCAUCGA